rnacentral:rRNA from 1 species
AACGAACGCUGGCGGCAUGCCUAACACAUGCAAGUCGAACGAGAUCUUCGGGUCUAGUGGCGCACGGGUGCGUAACGCGUGGGAAUCUGCCCUUUGGUUCGGAAUAACAGUUGGAAACGACUGCUAAUACCGGAUGAUGACGAAAGUCCAAAGAUUUAUCGCCAGAGGAUGAGCCCGCGUAGGAUUAGCUAGUUGGUGUGGUAAAGGCGCACCAAGGCGACGAUCCUUAGCUGGUCUGAGAGGAUGAUCAGCCACACUGGGACUGAGGCACGGCCCAGACUCCUACGGGAGGCAGCAGUGGGGAGUAUUGGACAAUGGGCGAAAGCCUGAUCCAGCAAUGCCGCGUGAGUGAUGAAGGCCUUAGGGUUGUAAAGCUCUUUUACCCGGGAUGAUAAUGACAGUACCGGGAGAAUAAGCUCCGGCUAACUUCGUGCCAGCCGCCGCAGUAA